GCCAGCAGCCAUAUCUCCCUGCAACAUCUGGAAACCCACUGAAGCUAAGCAGGUGUGAGCCUGGUCAGUACCUGGAUGGGAGACCUUAGAAAAACUAAGGUUGCUGCUGGAU
rnacentral:rRNA from 1 species